rnacentral:lncRNA from 1 species
ACGCACUGUGGUCCAAAACUGCCUUCCUGAUCAGUCUGUUGUGCUAAGGAGGCAGCCAUAUCCUGAGGCAAGAUAGCAGAUCUGUGGGCUGCAUCCGCAGAGGGAACCUGGUACAAAGGCCUGGGAGGUGACAAAAUGGAUAACAGCAGAAAUGUGAGCAAAUCUCCACCUCCUGCAGGAAGUACAGGGCAGAGUGCUGCUGGCCUCUACCCACUCUACUUCAGCACCUGACUUCUGCCUGCCCACAGCCACCCUAAGGCUGAGGAGACACUCCCUCAUAUUGAGGGUUUUGGGUAACCAUCUGCCCCAUCUGCUCCCAGCCAGAGGAAUAGACUGAACUUCCCUCUCUCCUUGGCUCUAUCACUCAGCAACCAGAAAAAAAUGAAUCUCCAGGGCUCUGUUUGAAGCACAGAAGAGGAUGUCUCUCUCCCCUGAAGUAAAAUCUCAACCCUGUGACUGCCCCACAUUAUAUCACAUGGGCUUCUCAGUGGAAUAGAAGGCACAAAAGCAUGACCUGCUGUCUCCUCCAGGCUGUGCUCCCCCUCUGCAAGAAGGGAAGGCACUGGGCUGCUUCACACAGGUAGCAGGUCAGCCCUCAGAGGGAAGCAUUUUGUCUGCUGUGUUACAGGCUCCUUCCCUAUCUGAACCCACCAGCUAAUGUGGGAAGCACUGCUGUAACAGUGCUGACUGCAAGGGGCUAAGGAGAGGAAGGAUGAACAUCGGCAACAAGAUGCCAUAUGAGACAUCCAGGUUCUGAGCCCAGCACCUCCCUGUGCAAGGCCACAUAGUAGGGAACAUCUGUGUAUCCUGUGCAGCAUAUUGUCCCAGAAACAAGCCUAAGAGCAGAUUUGGUCCAAGAACCAUAGCACUGAAUGUGAGAAAGGUUGUACCACUUACUGGGAAAGGCAUUAAUGGUCUUGCCAUCUCACCUCCUCUUCUGAAGUUAAUCCUCCUUUGUCACAUGGUGAGCCUCUCCCUUCAUUCCCAAAAAUCAGAGGGCUCUCAAGAAAAGGCUUCCAGUUGCUCCCCCUUCCUGCUCUGCCUGAGGGGCUGUGGGUCAUCAUAGGUAUGCCCAGGGUAGAAUAUCACACCAGGGAUGCAACCAUCUCCAGCACAUGCUGCAACCCUGCCCUGGAAUUCUGCUUUCUAGGACCAGCAAGGCUAGAAUGCUCUCACUGCUGUAGCCAAGUGAUCUAUCCCAGGCCCAGUACAUGCUCAACACUCCUCUGCUUUCCCCAUGGCUACCUCCUGGGAUGAGUAAACAUUGGCAUCACAGCACUUCACAGUUAAAUUGUAAACAUGGGGGCUUUCCCAGCCAGCGAUCUCUUCACUUUGCCAGCAGUCCUGAACCAGCCUGGAAACAGAAACACCCCCAGGGGCGCUAACACCCCUAGAUCAUUUUGAUUUCUGGUGCUCGGCCUUGCAUCAGGCCUUGGCGCUGAGCCUUCACCAUCUGCAGACGCUUCCCAUGCAAGCUGAACUGAGUCCAACUGAGGAGCUGCAGCAGUGCACAUGUGAUGGGAACAAAGACGAGGAGGUAAAAGCAGCCCUGGCGGAGAGUUGGCUCCAAGAUUGUAUCAGACUCCAGCUUUGGCUGGGCACUCACCACGUUGCUCAAGGGGUUACGCUGGAAGAUGUCAUAGCCUAGGGUAGAAGAAUAGUCUGUUGAGAUGGGACGCUGGGAACACUCCUCUCUCCCAGUGACUGGGCUUGGAGAUGCAGAGACCAGUCACAGCUUUGUAAGUGAGGGAACUCUGCAUCCACCCAAGACACUGUGGAGGGCACUGAGCUCAUGGGUCUGCCCCCUUCCACCAUAAUGCUUUCUAAAGGGCACUUACCUGUGUAUACACAGAGCAGCCAGGUGCCUAUCAGGGGGGCGAAGGUCUGUCCUGGCUUGGUGACCAGAGCAACCAUCCCAAAGAGCAGUGCUGAAGCCGCUUGCUUCCUGCGGUUUAGUACAAGAUCCUCAUCCACCAAGUCAGUCACCACCAGGUUGAGCAACUUACAGGUCCCUUCUGUGAACACC